rnacentral:rRNA from 1 species
GACGAACGCUUGCGGCGUGCCUAAGAAAUGCAAGUCGAGCGAGAACCAACCUUCGGGUGAAGUUCUAGCGGCGAACGGUCGCGUAACACGUAAGCAACCUGCCCUAAAGUUGGGGAUAGCCCUCCGAAAGGAGGAUUAAUACCGAAUGUGGACAUAUUUUCGCAUGUUUAUAUGUCUAAAGCAGCGAUGCGCUUUAGGAUGGGCUUGCGGCCUAUCAGCUAGUUGGUGUGGGUAACGGCCUACCAAGGCGACGACGGGUAGCUGGUCUGAGAGGAUGGUCAGCCGGAUUGGGACUGAGACACGGCCCAGACUCCUACGGGGGGCAGCAAUUAGGAAUCUUGCGCAAUGGGCGAAAGCCUGACGCAGCGACGCCGCGUGACUGAUGAAGUCUUUCGGGAGUGUAAAGGUACUUUUGUCAGGGGACGG